rnacentral:lncRNA from 1 species
CCUGGCGUACUCUGGUCCAUGGGGUCACAAAGAGUUGGACACGACUUAACGACUAAACAAUGGCAAUGGGUUCAAAUGCAGGAUUCAGAGAAAAUGUAAAAUGUCAUUGAAAUCCUCCCCCUAACCAUCAUCUUAGAACUGCAGACCUGGAAAUGUCUGAAUCAGUUCAGAUUCUAGAGAGGGAGAGUACCUCUGCCUACACAAUGAGUUUUAAUGCUACUUCGCCCACCCCCCAUUAUGCGGAUUCAUUCAGUCUCUAAAUGUGAAGCGAUAAAGAAUUAUUUCAGAGUACACAGAAUGUCCCUUUUCCCCCACAGAGCACCCAGGGGCGAAUCCACACAUAUGUAGGAUGCAGGGCGGGGUCAGCUGCACUGGUAACUUCAUGAGGGAAAGUACGAAGAAGGCUUAGGUGGUUGCAGGUUAAUGCACUUUAUUUUCUUAAAUAUAAAUGAACGAAAUGAACAGUUGAGGAAGAGAAGCUGACGUUCACACCUACUUUCCGGAAACUAGUCUGAAAGCAGAACAACGAACAUUGACCCAGACGAACCCCCUUCCUUGCCCUUGUCAGGGUCUGUUGGUUAUCCACGCAGGCUUUAAUUUUGACACCAAGUCCUCUUGCAGUGAUGAUUUUCUGCAAAGUCGUUACUCUAUGCGCGCGAGGAGAAGGGUGUCGAGAGGUAAAAGAGAACCGUGUUCUUGCACCCGCUGAAAAGUCGUGCAGAGGGCAUGCUCCGCACGCCAAACUGCGACACACCCGUCGAAAAGUCCCUUUUAGCGCCAGACCACCGUCCUGCAGGAACGGCCCUUCUUCUGAGCACCGGAGGCUACAUCGAAGCUACAGAGCAUCAUGCACGUUUAAGAUUUUGAAGAUGCAAUCCACAUUGCAAGUUUCUUGGAUCAAGAUCCAGCAACAUCAUGUUCCACUCAAGAAAGACCUUUGUAUGACCCAAGUUUUCACCAUGCGGCAUCACUGACUUUGAACCUGACACAGGUCACACCAGUGGAUGGCCAGUUUGAUGACGCUGUUGACUGAUGCAUGCUCAGCCUUGGGGCAGAUGCGUCACUUCUAAACAGAAUCCUUCACGAAGCUGAGCUGAAAAACAAGAGGAACCCUUUUGUGCUCUGAAGGUUUGAAUCUUGUCAAAGACCAGAGCAACACAAGAUUAAGGAUAUAACUGAGUAACAAUUAUGGAGCAAAAUUUUGCUUUAAAUAAUCACAUAAAUGGUUUUGGUUUAUUAUUUUAAAGUUGCUGGUGUGGUUGCUGCUGUUGUUAAAUUGCUCAUUUUUUUCUUUCCUGUCACCUGUACAGUAUUAUUUUAUUUGACGUGCUUGACUAAGCUGAGGUGUCAGUAUGUAUUAUUUCCAUAUUAUAAACUCAGUAUUGUGUUUGCUGUAACUUAUUUUUUUGAUAUAAAAGAGCACCAGUGUGCAGGAGGCAAUUACUUUGACAGGAUAAUUUCUGAAAAAUACAGGUUAUUUGGUUUUGUACACUGUGUACACAAGUGCGUUAUUUAACAUAGAAAUUGGAAGAAGUGCUGAUUUACCAUAUUGCCUAACACCUGAAUGUCCACUUUUCACUGAUUUAUUUAUACAUACAGUAUUGGAGACCUUAUCACCAAUGCUUUCCAGAGGCAGUUAUUGAUUGUCACCCUUAUAUCUCUUAGCAAUGAU